rnacentral:misc_RNA from 1 species
GAUGCGGAGCGAUCAUCUUCGGAUUGCCGCGGCGAAGCUCCAUGCUGCUCAUGACGCAGCCUGCUGCACGCGGCCGCGCGCCACAUCGAGAAACACUUCUUCCAGCGUGGUGCGGUUGUAGCGCGCCAGAAUGGCGGGCGGGCUGUCAUCGUCCUCGAUCCGCCCGCGCUUCAUGAUGAUAACCCGGUCGCAUAGCCGUUCGACUUCGAGCAUGUUGUGCGAGGCGAGCAGGAUCGUGGCUCCGCGCUCCUUGCGAUAGGUUUCGAGAUGGCUGCGGAUCCAGUCCGCGGUGUCCGGAUCGAGCGACGCGGUCGGCUCGUCCAGCAGCAGAAGUUCCGGCUCGUUG